GAUGAACGCUAGCUACAGGCUUAACACAUGCAAGUCGAGGGACCGGCGCACGGGUGAGUAACACGUAUCCAACCUGCCCUUUACUCGGGGAUAGCCUUUCGAAAGACAGAUUAAUACCCGAUAUAAAGGAUGGGGAUGCGUUCCAUUGGGUUGUUGGUGAGGUAACGGCCCACCAAGCCUUCGAUGGAUAGGGGUUCUGAGAGGAAGGUGCCCGACAUUGGAACUGAGACACGGUCCAAACUCAUACGGGAGGAAGCAGUGAGGAAUAGUGGACAAGGGGCGCUAGCCUGAACCAGCCAAGUAGCGUGAAGGAUGAAGGCUUAUGGGUGGUAAACUUCUGUUAUAUAAGAAUAGGUAUUAUAUGAAUAAGGAUCGGCUAAAUACGUGCCAGCAGCCGCGGUAAUAC
rnacentral:rRNA from 1 species